AGAGGAUCAGCCUUCGUAGGUUAUGCCUGCGGAGGAUCAUUA
rnacentral:rRNA from 1 species